rnacentral:rRNA from 1 species
GCGGUGCUCCAUAUCGACCUAGAGGAGCCUGUCCUAUAAUCGAUACCCCCCGUUUCACCUUACCAUUUUUAGCAAUUCAGCCUAUAUACCGCCGUCGUCAGCUUACCUCGUGAGAGAUUUAAAGUAGGCAAAACAGUUAUUUACUAACACGUCAGGUCAAGGUGUAGCACACAAAAUGGAAGAGAUGGGCUACAUUUUCUAACCUAGAAAAAACGAACAUUGCAGUGAAAUCUGCCCUUUAAGGAGGAUUUAGCUGUAAGACAGAUAAGAGAAUCUGCCUAAACCCCGCUCUGGAGCGCGCACACACCGCCCGUCACCCUCAUCAAUAUAUCAAACAAACAAAAUAUAACUUCACCUUUCAAUACAGAUGAGGAAAGUCGUAACAUGGUAAGCGCACCGGAAGGCGCGCUUGGAAUAACAAACAGUAGCUUAAAACAAAGCAUUCAGCUUACAAUUGAAACAUGUUAGUGAGACUCUAACCUUUUUGA